GAAUGCUGUCUAGGAAAACAAAUUAUGGAGCUUUUCUCGUUCUCAAUUUUGAGGGAGCACGUGACUUGACACCCACCUGGCAGAGGUGUCCGAGGUUUGUUGGUGGUGGACAACAUAAUUUGUAUCUAAACCCUGGCAAAACAAUUGACUAGUAGGGUCAUGAGAAACAUCUCCUUGACAUGGUCCACAGAGUGGCAGCUGUGAAAUUAUCCCAGUUAUUGUGACAAGAAGAGGAACGGUUCCCUUGCAACCAGGAGAUGGGUGGGUGGAAGUUGAGCUGGACGAGUUCUUUAAUGACCAGGGAGUAGAUGGGAAGGUGGAGAUGAGCCUCAUGGAGGUGAGAGGUGGUCAGUGGAAAGUCUGGCCUCAUCAUCCAAGGAAUUGAACUCAGGCCACAACAAAAUAAAGCCCUUUGCUCUUAUUAUUUACGAGGACAUCUUAGUUAUGGACCUCUUCACUUCAACGAUGAUUCUGUAAUUUAGUAGAUUGAAAUAAAGGUAAAAGAAGGCAGUCCAGACAUGGAUCGAUCAUGCAAGCUUACCAAAUUAAUGGUUGUGACCUGGGAGUUGCAGAAGAUUGAAGGAGCCACCAGAAGCAAUACAAUUCUCUUCUUCGCACAUCUUCCCAGCACCUGGAUGUUGAUCAAUAAUUGAUUUUGUUUUUCUUUUGACAACUGAUAUGGAUGUUGAUCAAUAUGGUAUCUGGAAUGGACCAAGAAUUUUUAAUGCUAAAAUAUUCGAGUUAAAUUUUCCAUUA